rnacentral:rRNA from 1 species
UUCGCCCUUAGAGUUUGAUCCUGGCUCAGGACGAACGCUGGCGGCGCGCCUAACACAUGCAAGUCGAACGGAGCUUAGAGAGCUUGCUUUUUAAGCUUAGUGGCGAACGGGUGAGUAACGCGUGAGUAACCUGCCCUAGAGUGGGGGACAACAGUUGGAAACGACUGCUAAUACCGCAUAAGCCCACGGUGCCGCAUGACACUGAGGAAAAGGAUUUAUUCGCUUUAGGAUGGACUCGCGUCCAAUUAGCUAGUUGGUGAGGUAACGGCCCACCAAGGCGACGAUUGGUAGCCGGACUGAGAGGUUGAACGGCCACAUUGGGACUGAGACACGGCCCAGACUCCUACGGGAGGCAGCAGUGGGGGAUAUUGCACAAUGGGGGAAACCCUGAUGCAGCGACGCCGCGUGGAGGAAGAAGGUUUUCGGAUUGUAAACUCCUGUCGUUAGGGACGAUAAUGACGGUACCUAACAAGAAAGCACCGGCUAACUACGUGCCAGCAGCCGCGGUAAAACGUAGGGUGCAAGCGUUGUCCGGAAUUACUGGGUGUAAAGGGAGCGCAGGCGGGAAGACAAGUUGGAAGUGAAAACCAUGGGCUCAACCCAUGAAUUGCUUUCAAAACUGUUUUUCUUGAGUAGUGCAGAGGUAGAUGGAAUUCCCGGUGUAGCGGUGGAAUGCGUAGAUAUCGGGAGGAACACCAGUGGCGAAGGCGGUCUACUGGGCACUAACUGACGCUGAGGCUCGAAAGCAUGGGUAGCAAACAGGAUUAGAUACCCUGGUAGUCCAUGCCGUAAACGAUGAUUACUAGGUGUUGGGGGAUUGACCCCCUCAGUGCCGCAGUUAACACAAUAAGUAAUCCACCUGGGGAGUACGACCGCAAGGUUGAAACUCAAAGGAAUUGACGGGGGCCCGCACAAGCAGUGGAGUAUGUGGUUUAAUUCGAAGCAACGCGAAGAACCUUACCAGGUCUUGACAUCCGAUGCAUAGCACAGAGAUGUGUGAAAUCCUUCGGGACAUCGAGACAGGUGGUGCAUGGUUGUCGUCAGCUCGUGUCGUGAGAUGUUGGGUUAAGUCCCGCAACGAGCGCAACCCUUAUUGCCAGUUACUACGUUAAGAGGACUCUGGCGAGACUGCCGUUGACAAAACGGAGGAAGGUGGGGAUGACGUCAAAUCAUCAUGCCCUUUAUGACCUGGGCUACACACGUACUACAAUGGCGUUAAACAAAGAGAAGCAAGACCGCGAGGUGGAGCAAAACUCAAAAACAACGUCUCAGUUCAGAUUGCAGGCUGCAACUCGCCUGCAUGAAGUUGGAGUUGCUAGUAAUCGCGGAUCAGCAUGCCGCGGUGAAUACGUUCCCGGGCCUUGCACUCACCGCCCGUCA